rnacentral:rRNA from 1 species
UACGGGGGGGGCGAAGCGUUGUUCGGAAUUACUGGGCGUAAAGGGUUUGUAGGUGGCUUGUUAAGUCAGACGUGAAAUCCCUCAGCUUAACUGGGGAACUGCGUCUGAUACUGGCGAGCUUGAGUGCAGGAGAGGAACGCGGAAUUCCAGGUGUAGCGGUGAAAUGCGUAGAUAUCUGGAGGAACACCGGUGGCGAAGGCGGCGUCCUGGACCAACACUGACACUGAGGAGCGAAAGCCAGGGGAGCAAACGGG